GGGCUCAUUGCAGCAGCCCAUAUGCUAAAAUUUGAACAAUACUGAGAUUAGCAUGGCUCCUGCAAAAGACUGACACACAAGUUUAUGAAGCAUUCUGUAUUUUUUU
ensembl:snRNA Gm26424 U6 spliceosomal RNA